CAUUCAGAACCUGGGGUGAGGGGCCCUGCGAAGAUGGGGCGGAGGGUGAGGGAAGAGACUAGAACACGGGACUAGGGGCGCCCAUCCCUCUCCCACGGACCCCCACAGUCUGCCAGGAUGCUUCAGGCUCCCUCAAGGUGGAUUCUGAGCAGAGCCAUGGAAGAAGGAUCCUGAGUCUCCCGCUGUGAAGGUGUAAUUGAGAGGAGGAGGAGCAAGAGCAGAAGAUGAACCACAGAGGCCGGCGGCUUUGCAAGAUCACCUUAAACACACGUGAGCCCAGUUCCCAGCGCCUGGGUGACGGCAGAGCCUCAUGCUGCCACACCUUCCCGUUUUCCAAGAAAAAAUCAUGCAUACAGGGGCCAACAUUGAGGCACAGCACUUUUAGGUUGCCACCUGCAGUGCCAGCAUCACAUCUGAGUAUCCAGUCAAGUCCUGGCUGCUCCACUUCCCAUCCAGCUCCCUGCUAAUGCUCCUAGGAAAGCAGCAGAAGAUGGCACAAGUCUUUGGGUCUCUAUCACCCACGUGGGAGACCCGGAAGAAGCUCCUGGCUCCUGGAUUCGGGUUGGUCAAGUCCCAACCGUUGCAGCCAUUUGGGGAGUGAACCAGUGGUUGGAAGAUUCUCUCUAACUCUGUGACCCUCAAAUUAAAUCUUUUGAAAAAUCUUUUAAAAAUUAACAUUAAUAAAAGAACAGAUUGUCUUGAAAAAAAUUUUAAUAAAUAAAUAAA